AUGAACCAUGAUCUCCUCCCUGCACUAGGCAUGUUAAUUAUUGAGAGGCUUGCUACCUUUGAUCUUGAGAACUGGAUGGAAAUCAACGGAGCAACAUGCCUCAUCUCAAAGAUCAUAGAGUUUGCAAGCUGCAGAACCAAAAUGAUAAAUAUCAGUGAGACAGACCAAACAAUGCUAAAAGGUUCAUCAUUGAAGGUGCUGAGAAGACUUACAAGCACUAAAGGGAGGUUUGGUGUAGCUCUGCGACAGAAGAUUUCAGAACAUCCUUUCCUGUUGAGUAACAUUGCUGAAAUUUUGGAUGAAAGCAAGAGCAGCCGUGAAGAUAGGGAGGUCACAGCAGAGAUCAUUAGAAAUCUUGCCAUGAGUGGAAAUACAAGCGCAGAGAUUGGGCACAUCCGAUUGAUCAUUAGCAGAUUGAUGUAUGCCUUACUCAGACAAGAUGCACCAUCGAGUGGGGAUACAGGGCACCUGCUACCAAUGAUCGCUGGGCAAGCAUUGGCAGUGCUGGCAAUGGAGAGUUCCAACAAUUGUUUGGUUAUGUUAGCGGAGCCAGGGCAUGUAUUCAUCAGAGAACUCACAAUUAUGAUCCAUAGUGAGAGCCAGUACAGGUACGCAGCAGCAAGCCUGUUGCGAGAUAUGUGCGUGCAAGCUCGGCCUGUUCUGAGUAACUCAGACCUGAAGAAUAUCUCUUACAUCCUGCGAGAGGUGUUGGAAGGAAUAAUGGAUGCAGAAGGAGCAGAGCUAGAGAUCCUUCUUGGCCUUAGUUCACAAGUAUGUAAUGUUGUUCCGGAAGACUUUGCCCGAGAACUAGAUUGUGGUGAGAUUAAGAAAAGAUUUAUAAAGAGGCUUGUCGAUGUGCUUAACUCAAAUAUGGUACCCACUGCUCAUUGUCCUGGAAUCAGGAGGGCAGUAGUUCAACAUGCAGUAUACAUGAUGGAGAACAAGCCUAGCUACGCAAACUAUUUCAACAGAUGCUGGAUGAUGGAAGCACUGGUAAUGGUAGAAUGCACACCUUCAAAGGCUGAAAAUUACAGACUCUUCUGGGGUGAUGCAGGACUCAUGGAGCACAGCAUACCUCUCUCUGCUCUCCUGGCCAGAGCGAAAAGAUGUCUAUGA
rnacentral:rRNA from 1 species